CUUCAGCGCUAUUCUGAAGUGAAACACAGCCUCAGUGCGGCUAAGCGUAAAUACAGCCCCCGUACCUCACCCUUCCCCCACUCCUCCUUCACCUUCGGUGUAGCUCUCAGUCCUGUGCGUGAGAACUGUGUGCCGAGGUGCUGAGUAAUCCUUCUCCCUGCUACGUUGAUACCAAACCAUCUCACGCGAAGAAGGGACUCUGGCUGACCGGGGACACCUGUUCGUAUUACUGCCGGACACACAGAGUUGACAGCAACACCCGGAUAAUACACGUGUGUGCAUGCAGCUUUAGAGUUUACCUGUGUGUGCUGAUCAGAAAAUGGGUCUCGGUGAAGGUCAAGGUGACGGUCAAGGUGACGGUCAAGGUCGCGGAGGAGCUGGAAUCAUCUGGGCAAUACUGUGGUUUCUCGUCCUGAUAUUCCUAGGCUGGCCAAUCGGCUUCUUCAUCGCCUGGCUCUACGUGCUUCUCCUCCCGUUCGGCGCGUGCAUCAGCCCCAUCAAGGACGCCUGUGACGCCAUACUACGUCUCGUGCAACUUCCCCUCACCUGCGCCGAGAACAUGAUCAACAUGAAACCCAUGUGUUCCUAGAUCAACAUCAGCAACAUCGUCAGCAUCAUCAACUUCGUCUUCCAGAUAAACAUCGCCCUGUGUAUUAUGUGCCUCUCAACAUCUUUAGUGUUUUCCCAGGGAAAGGAUUUUACAGCCGACGCCAAAUGUUCCUUGGGGGGACAUGUUUAAUCAUAUCUAAUCUCCCAUGAGAACAUCUGUAUAUUUGCCUUGUCUUAUUCACGUGUUGAUAUAUUUAAAAGAAACGUAUUUAUUCCAGUAAGGUUAAACUUUCGUAAAGGGUCACAGAUCAAUCCUCCUGGUCGAGGUGAUUCCAAAGUGCCAUCAGCUGUUGGUAGCGAUGCGUCGUUGAACGUCUAAGGUACUAUACUAUAAGCCCUGUAUUAUAAUAAUGUGAGAUCGAAAAGAUCACGAUUUGUGCAACUCAUUGCUGCAUGUCAGUCCAGUUUGAGGACAGCCUGGACUAACGCGUAGUCUCUAAAUAUAUACAAUUUUGAUUGUAACAAAUAUAGUCCCAAAUGAAUUGAAAGGGAGUUCCAGGGAGACCAGAGAUUCAGAACCUGGAGAAAAAUAGACUUGCUUCAUUUAGGGCUUUAGCACUGCAGAGAGGGCUAGGCUGUAGGGAAAUUAAUAUGGUUCAGGGACUGUGAGACAGACUAAGGGCAGCCUUGCUACUCUACGUGUAUUACCUAUUAAUGCCUUAUUUUGAAAAAUAUUUUGAUCUCAAUGAUAUUUCCACCAGACAUGUUCCCGUUACCUCCAGAUGUAAAGUGCCUGGCAAAAGAAAGUAUCCACUUGGAAAAAUGAUUUCACCAAAACAAUACAAAACUUAUCAAAACGUUACUGGAAAACGUCGAAAGGACUGCACACUUAUGUUCCUGAUCACAACUGAAGACCGUAUCAAAUAUACCAUGUGACAGUCGAGUAAUCGUUUCCCGUCUGUAUCAGUUUAACCAUUAUCGAAACAGGGGCGGUGGGGUACCCUAUUGAGUAAAGCGUUGGCUCGUCACGCCGAAGACCCGGGUUCGAUUCCCCACAUGGGUACAAUGUGUGAAGCCCACUUCUGGUGUCCCCAGCCGUGAUGUUGCUGGAAUAUUGCUAAAAGCGGCGUAAAACCAAACUCACUCUCUAUCACUAUCAUUAUCAUUAUCGAAACAGUGUGCUUUCUUUUGCUGAUGAGUAUAUUGCUCACCUGUUGUCGGAACAGCCUCGGUUUAUCGGUAACUAUAUUUCUUUAAGCGGAUAUACAGGCAUAUGAUGCGUAAGGCAUUCAAUGGUCAGUAACUGAUGUAUCACCCUCUGGUGUCCAGUUCGUUAGAUAACCGUUCCAUGGUGCUAAACGACUCCAUUGGUUUCCAUGUCUUCCAUUUAAGAUAUGCCACCCAUUACCCAUCAGAUACGUCCCACACAAAUUCUCUCGCACACCAGUGUGUUUUGAGCUGAAUCAACAUUAUGACAGUUGAUGUAUCCUAAUAAAUAAUGACGAUAGAUUGUAGACAAAACCUUCGUCAAACGAGGUGCUGAUGUCGAAGAGCAGUUGGAUGAGAAUUGUAUGAUCUAAGCGACUUUUUUCCCUGACCAAUCUGCCACCAUGGUCUUUCAUUCACAGCUUGACUAAGUGUGUUUCUUGCAUUAUGUUAGAGCACAGAAUCCCUUAUGGGGAACCCAGUUUAGAACAGUUUCCCAGCUUCCUUGCUGGUCGUACGUUGCGACCAAAAGGACUGGGUAGCCUUGGUCGAUGACUCGGUUUGUAGCGUGCGCGCGCACUUUGUAACGUGCGCUCAUAAUAUUGAUCACGGGAUUGUCAAUGACAGACCGCUGUGAUAUACUUACAAUUUUGCCGAGUGCAGCGUUCGCCAGCGAACUCGCUGAACGCUGAGUCAACGUGCCAAGCUGUUCUAGUGCAAUGUGAUACGACUGGGUAAAGGUAUGUUAUCAUGCUAUCCAAGGACAAAGCGAAAUAGGAUGCAGGAUCUCCCCAGCUGCAGUUAAACACAAUAGUUGCAGGAGUAACGAUUGAUUACUAUAGGUGUCGGGAUAGGGGAAAGGUGGUUUAUGUGGGCGAUGCCUUUUUUAAAAAUAUGUAUAAACGUAGAAAUACUCUGGUGAGGGUAUAAGGACGAAGUUGUUUAUAAGUGGAUGAAAAUACUCGGGAUUGCCAGAAAAAACACCCUGGAUGAUCUGGGGGUAUAUCGAAGUGGGUUGAAACAUUAUGUGCCUCACCGAUGUUCUGAAGAUUUGUUUAAACUUUCAGUCCCAAUUAUAGUCUUAACAACCAUCUAUUAAUAUUAAGUGGUCAGCCCUAAAUGGUCAGUGUGAUUGUGUUGAAGGUGUCUGACCACUUACCCUCCUGUGUGUAUCCCCGUCAACGUAGACGGUGCUACCUGCAUCAUUCUCUACUGCCAUUAUGUAUCAUACAGCCGUUAACAUAUACCCCAUUCUAAUCAUACAUAAGAAAUGGUUAAUAUAUUCAACGUAAAAUACAUUACAGAUAUGGUUUUGUAUUUCUCAAAAUAUAAACUAUUGUAUACGUUAUGUUAUUAUUCUUGUAUACGGUAAUAAAUAAAUAUUUCCUUAGA